CUACGGAAGCUGACCUUUUUUAUUUUGGAAUUUUAUGACAACUUGGUGUCCCUUCAUUUUUCAGAACUCACUACCAGCAAGAAUUAAAGGAAUCUAUGUGAUCAACACACCAGCCGUGGCUGAAUACGCUGUGUCCCUUGUGCAGUUCUUUCUACCAGCGAAACUAAAGAGCAGGUUGCACUUCUUCCGCGGCGGCUUUUCGGAACUUCGCGGAAUUAUUCCUUCUGAACUGAUACCAAAGGACUUCAGCGGAACGCAAGAAGACUUCGACUUCCACGCACAAGAAGAUUUCCUCCUUGAGAAGACCAGCUACUUUGACAGUAUGCAGCAGUGUGGUUAUUGAUGGAGUUAAAUGUGGGUCAGUCUGAAGAACGUAAAGACCUUUGUAUUAUAUGUAAAUAAUAAAUAUGUUUUUGUUCAACGUUU
rnacentral:lncRNA from 1 species